CAUAAUGACACCAAGCAACUCAUGAGGGAUCUGCCCCCCUGACCCAAACACCUCCAACUAGGCCCCACCUCCCACAUUAGGGAUGAAAUUUCAACAUGAUAUUUGGAGGGAACUAAUAUCCAAACUAUGUCAUAGAGGUAUGUGUGUAACCUCAUUCAUUUAUGCAUUCAUUCAACAAAAUAUGUAGUGAGCACCUGCUAUGUGCCAGGCACUGUGCUAGGCUGUAGAUAUGACUCAUAAAUAAGAUGAAUAUUGCCACAGUCCUUAGGAGCCUAGUGUAGUUGGGGAGUAAAUAAGCAAACAGAUAAUUUCUAUACCUGGUAAUUACUACCUUGAUAGGGCAAAGAGGAUUCUGUUUGUGCUGUAUAAGCACAUGAAAAGUACAAAGUCAAUCCUUGGGAGGUCAUGGAAUCUUUCCUAGGAAAUGAUAUAUAAGGUGGAUAAAAAGGUAACCAGAUACAGAUGAGAAGAGAAGGUGGGCCAGAAAUUUUGAAAUACUGAACCAACUGGAUGUCAUUCACUGACAUAGGGUAAUAGUAUAGAUGACUGGAUUGGAAAAUGAAAAAGGAACUAAAAGUAAUUAAAUGAGCUGCAGACAUGAAAAUGAACACUUGGGAAGUCCUGGCAGGAAGUCAUCAAUAAGACAACAUAAUGAAGUGGAAAGUGGUUGGGAGUAAGGCUGACUUGGAUUCAAACCCUAGUUUCACCACUUAAUAGACGUGUUACGUUGAACAAAUCCUUUAACUUUUCAGAGCCUCAAUUUUCCUCUUUGUAAAAUACAGAUAAUAACAUGGACACUAUAAGGGUUUUGUUGUUGUUGUUGUUGUUGUGAGACGGAGUCUUGCUCUGUUGCCCAGGCUGGAGUGCAGUGCCUCGAUCUUGGCUCACUGCAACCUCUGCCUCCUGGGUUCAAGCGAUUCUCCUGCCUCAGCCUCCAGAGUAGCUGGGACUACAGGCGCACGCCACCAUGCCUGGCUAAUUUUUGUAUUUUUUGUAGAGACGGGGUUUCACCAUAUUGGCCAGGCUGGUCUCGAACUCCUGAUCUCAGAUGAUCCGCCUGCCUUGGCCUCCCAAAGUGCUGGGAUUACAGGCGUGAGCCACCGCACCUGGCCCAGACACUGUAAGUUUUGGGGAGGAUUAAAUGGGAUCAUCCAUGUAAAUGCGCCUAUCCCAGUCUCUAGCACACACUGAACACUCAAAAAUGGGAGGUUUUGGUAUUUCAGAAGAAAAUCAGGUGUCGGGGAGUGUUAGUAGUAACCUUGAACUAUAUGCAAAGACUAAAGCUAGGAAGAUAGGAAGAGUUUUACAAGAUCCUUUUGGCUAUAUAGUUAAAGUUAUUAGCAGUUAGAGUUUCCCUUACAGUUGACAAGUGAACCAUACAAGUGAAUGACUUGUGGUUCCUCAGAUAAAAGCACGAGUCAGAGUUGUAAUUUCUGUUUUGUGGACGUAAUUGUUGACCAAGUGCACUGAAGGUAGGGAUGGCCAGUAGCAAAAUUAUAAAGCAGGCCUGUUUGUCUUCAAACACUCCUGAGUAAACUUGUCAUUUCCUUGUAAAAAUGCAAAAUAGACUACUGAGUAGAGGUGAUCAAUUACAGAAAUGCACUUACUUUGGCUUUCUUCUGAAACCUAAUAAAAUGACAGUAAAGGGAUUAUUUUUUUAAGGCAGAAACCCACAAUGAUGAUGAAAUUAGAAAGGAAGACAAGAACAACAAGGUUGUGGAAUUCAGAAGCCAUAUAGACAAGAGGUAACACACCUGAGAAAGAUGAUCCCUAAAUUUGUCUUGGAGAAAACUCAGAAGUACCUGACUACAUCAUAGACCUCCCAAACAGCUUCCAAAUGUCAGAUACCACUGAAAAUGGGGAUAAAGGUAGGGUCAAAAAUAGGAGGAUUGGGUUAUAAGUCUGUAUAAGAAGUUGUUAGAUCCCUACAUCCUCUCUUCAAACCUGUAUAGCCAGAUAAUGGUCCCUCUCCCAGCCUGGCAGAGGCUAGAUAAGGUAAAUAGAGAAACUUACUUCCUGGAGAACAUUUGGCACAUUUGGGGAUGGAGUUCAGUAAUAUAAAUGAAGGGGUAGUGAAAAUUUAUCGGAACAUUUAUAACCUAACAGAACCCCAUGUCUUUUACCCCAUUCUAAUUCCAGACCACUAGAGAUUAGAAAAUUAUUCUCUGGGGUAUCUGACCACUUCCAGAGGAAAGACAUAAAGAUGCUGAUGUCGAGAAUGACCCAACUAAAUGGCCCAGCCAGAUGACCCAGUUGAAGCUGGUGGACAAGAAGUUUCAUUCAUGGAAUCAGAACUUCCAAUAAGGUCUUUUAGUACCUCACUCCUAAAUUUGAAUAGACUACCAAAGAUUAUCAGACAUCUAAGGGGAACUACCAGCAUGAAAGGUAGAGACCAAAGCAAACAAACAAACAAAGAAAAUAAUUUGGAACUAACCAAGACUAUGCUGGGAGAAGAAAACUAUUAUUAAUAUCCACAGAGCGUAGUACAGCCACUAUGGAGAACAGUAUGGAGGUUCCUCUAAAGACUAAAAAUAGAACCAUCAUAUAAUUCAACAAUCCCACUGCUAGAUAUAUACCCCAAAGAAAGGAAAUCAGUAUAUUGAAAAGAUAUCUGCACUCUCAUGUUUACUGUAGCGCUAUUCAUAAUAGCCAAGAUUUGGAAGCAACUUAAGUGUCCAUCAACAGAUGAAUAGAUUUUUUUAAAAUGUGGUACAUAUACACAAUGGAGUACUAUUCAGCCAUAAAAAAGAAUGAGAAAUGUCAUUUGCAACAACAUGGUUGGAACUGGAGGACCUUAUGUUAAGUGAAAUAAGCCAGGCCCAAAAAAGCAAAUUUCACAUGUUCUCACUCAUUUGUGGGACCCAAAAAUGAAAACAGUUGAACUCAGGGAGAUAGAGUAGGAUGAUGGUUACCAGAGGCUGGAAGGGUAGUUGUGGUGGGAGGUGGGUGGUUAAUGAGUACAAAAAUAUAGUUAGAUAGAAUGAAUAAAUCUAAUAGUUGCUAGCACAACAGGGUGACUACAGUCAACAAUAAUUUACCGUACAUUUAAAAUAACUAAAAGAGUAUAAUUGGCAUGUUAGUUACACAAAAAAAGGAUAAAUGCUUGAGGCAACGGAUAUACCAUUUACCUGGAUUUGGUUAUCACACAUUGUAUACUUGCAUUAAAAUACCUGCCGGGCACAUGGCUCAUGCCUGUAAUCCCAGCACUUUGGGAGGCUGAGGUGGGCAGAUCACCUGAGGUCGGGAGUUUGAGACCAGCCUGACUAACAUGGAGAAACCCGUCUCUACUAAAAAUACAAAGUUAGCUGGGCAUGGUGGCUCAUUCCUGUAAUCCAAGCUACUUGGGAGGCUGAGGCAGGAGAAUCACUUGAACCUGGGAGGCGGAGGUUGCAGUGAGCCGAGACCACACCAUUGCACUCCAGCCUGGGCAACAAGAGCAAAACUCCGUCUCAAAAAAAAAAAAAAAAAUCUUAUGUUCCCCAUAAAUAUAAAUACCUAUUAUGUACCAAUAAAAGUAAAAAGUAAAAAGUUUCAAUUGAUUCACAACUUUAAAAAAUAUCCACAGAGGUGUAAGAGGAGAUAUUGUAUUGCACCCACGAACCAGUCUUAUGCUAUUUCAGAAAGGGACAUUCAAGAAACAAAAAGGGAGCUCUGGGAAAUUUGAACAAUAAAUAAUAGUAGAAUAAAAAAUUCAGAGAAAGUUUGGAUGAUAAAUUUGAGCCAAUCUCCCAGUAAGCAAAGCAAAAAUAUAGAAAAUGAGAGUUAGAAAAGAAAAAGAAAAAAAUUAAAGGACUAAAAUAAGAAGUCCAACAUCUAAAUAAGAGGAGAUCCACAAAGAGCAACAGAGAUAAGAGAAGAAAGGAAAUAAUCAAUAAAAUAAUUCAAGAAAAUCCAAGGACAUGAAUUCUCAGAUUGUAAGAGACUACUUGAGUGAAAAAAAAAAAAAAAAGAAUGGAGUUAGACCCAUCCCAAGGCACAUUAUUUGUGCGAUUUUAAAAUACCGAUAUAUUAGUUUGCUAGAGCUGCAGUAACAAAACACCACAGACUGGGUGGCUUGAACAGCAGAAAUUUGUUUUCUCAUGGUUCUGGAUGCUAGAAGUCUAAGAUCGAGGUGACAGCAGUUUCGUUUUUUCCUGAUGCUUCUCUCCUUAGCUCACAGAUGGCUGCCUUCUAGUUGUGUCCUCAUACUGUCUUCCCUUGGUCAGUGUUGUCUGUGUCCUCGUCUCCUCUUCUUAAAGGGACACCAGUCAUAUUAGGUUAAGAAUUGCCCAUUAGACCUCAUUUUACCUUAAUUACCUCUUUAAAGGCCCCACGUCUAAAUACAGUCAUAUUCUAAACUACUGGGGGUUAGGGCUUCACUGAGUGAAUUUUGGUGGAAAGUGGGGCAGGGGACACAAUUCAGCCUACAAAAACUGGAAACAAAGUGAAAAUCCUAUGUGUUUCUGUGCUCAGAAGACAGGAAGUAGUCAUACCCAAGAGUCAAUAAUUAAACUGGUUUCUCACCAGCAAUUUGGGAGACUGGAAGUCGGAAGACACAGAGCAGUGCCUACCACAUUCAAAAGAGAAAAGAGGCCGGGCAUGGUGGCUCACGCCUGUAAUCCCAGCACUUUAGGAGGCGAGGAGGAUGGAUCACCAGGUCAGGUGUUCAAGACCAGCCUGACCAACAUGGUGAAAUGCUGUCUCUACUAAAAAUACAAAAAUUAGCUGGGCAUAGUGGAACACGCCUGUAAUCCCAGCACUUUGGGAGGCCACAGAGGGCAGAUCACCAGGUCAGGAGUUUGAGACCAGCCUGACCAACAAGGUGAAACCCCAUCUCUACUAAAAAUACAAAAAUUAGCCAGGCGUGGUGGCGCAUGCCUGUAAUCCCAGCUACUCAGAAGGCUGAGACAGAAGAAUCACUUGAACCCAGGAGGUGGAGGUUGCAGAGAGCCGAGAUCAUGCCACUGCACUCCAUCCUGGGUGACAGAAUGAGACUCCGUCUCAAAAAAAAAAAAAAAAAGAGAGAGAGAAAAGAAUUCCAACCCAGAAUUCUCAACUUCACUGUGUCAGAACAUAUGAAGUAAACAAAUAUUCAUCUCUACAUUUGCCAGUCCCUGUGGACUUAGACCAGAUAGUAUAAAUAAUAGUCACAAAAGGAGUAUGAAUGGGAUAAGAAGCCACUUCUAGUCUGAGACAAUUAAGAGUAGUAGUGCCUUCUCUGCACUCUCACCGCCUCAUUCUGACAGCUGAAGUGAAGGACUCCCAACUUCUGGAACUGCCCAAUGAAAGUAGCCUUGUGUGAGUGUUAGCUGGCCUGCUUUGGUCUGGGAUGCAAGUAGAAAUAAACUCCUCUCAUAUUAAGCCACUAAGACUUUAGGGAUAUGUUGCUGUAGCAUAGCCUAAUGUAGCCUGAUUACUGAACGAGCCACCCCAUCAACUGAAUCUAUGUAUAUACUAAAAACAUUUUAAGAUACGCAAGGUCUCAAAGAGUUCACUCGAUGCACACUUUUUCUCAGGAAGCUACUAGAGGAUGUGCUCCACAAAAAAUAAAGGUAUAAAUUGUGAAAGAGGAAAACAUAGGAUUUAGGAAUCAAGGGAAUUCAGCACAAGACAGAAGAAAAGGGAAUCUGCAGCAAGAUCCCUGAGCUGUGCAUGUAACAUAAAGGGCAACAAUUUCCAACACAGAGCAGAUCACAAGACCCUAGGAUAGAUUUCUUGAAGAAAAUGAAAUUAAAAGAAUACUGGAUUCAUCUGAACAUACGAAAAGGAGAUUUAAGCAACUUUUUAAGAGCUUGGGAAUGAAUUAAUGAUAAAUAUAUGGUAUUAUGCAACCAAAACUACAAUAAAAACUCAUUAAAAAUUAUAACUCAUAAAAUUAUUAAUUUCAGGGAAAAUAAAAAGUUGAGUAGGAAUGAAAAAAGAAUCAGAGGAUACUAUAAAGCUCAUCUGUGGAUAUUGUUUACAUAGUCAUGAUAAUGAAAAAGAAAUAAUCUAACCAAAAUUAAACGUUGGAAGUGUGGGGAGAUAGAAAUGGUAGUGUAUUCGCUAUUUAUGUGUUGGGGAGGAUACCUGUAACUUUAACAUUAGUGAGCUUUACUUUACUAAGGCUAAAUAAACAAACUCAAGUGUCCAGAAAGGCUAGAGAAGGAGCUUACAAGAAUGAAGCUAUUGUGGUGUGAUUCAAUAGGGAAUAGGUGGGGCCUUGGCAACAUCAAUUUGUAGUAUCCCUGCCAAUUGAUACUACAACAUCAAUUUGUAGUAUCCCUGCCAAAAUUUAACUAUGGAAAAUAGUUAAAUUUUAAUAUGCACACAUCUGUGGUUGUGGUUAUACAGAUAUAUAUAUAUAUAUAUAUAUAUAUAUAUAAUAAAAAUUUAUAUAUAAAUAAAUACAUAAACAAACUCAAGUGUCCAACAGGGCUAGAUAAGGAGCUUACAAAAAUGAAGCAGUUGUGAUGUGAUUCAAUAGGGAAUAGGUGGGGCCUUGGCAAACCAAAGAACAUAUUCUAUCUAAAGUGGAUGGCCACAACUUGCUCCAGCUGUGGAAACUUGGGCCAUGUACUGCUAGAUCUAAGGAUUUUCUUUUGAGAGAUGCUAGAUAUAUACAUUUUUUAAAAAUAAAAUUAUCCUGAUUUUAACAACAUUGCCUUAUUAUAUAAAACAUACCUUGGAGGGUGUGGGUAAGACACAAUGUCCUUGAAAUUAUAUUUCACUGGGUUAAUAAAAUUGGCUCCGGAAGAAAAUAAUUUUAAACAGCAAACCAAAAAGUGAAGGCCUUCAAAACUAACAAACCAAAGGAAAACAAAACAAAAUGACAACAAGAAAAAAACAAAGAAACAAAACCCCUGGACCUUACCAUUUUUCUAAGGCAUGUUGACAUGAUAAAAUCAAAAUUGCUUUGUGCUUAUAAGGAUCAAAGGUUAUGCUUUUGACUUUAUAAAUUCAGAGAAAGAAUUUAAUUGGAAUUAUUUUUAUGAAUUAACUGAAGAUCUAAGGCAACUGGAUAAUUUAGGUUCUGCUAGUAUCUAGAAUAUUCAAAGUUUAUGUUUAGUCUGACACUAAAGAAUCCAUUAUUUCUCUUGACUUCCAGGCUGGUCAGUGUCUUUCCUGUGUCAUAUACCAAACAAUGUGUUAGAAAUUGUCUUCUCACUCAUAAACUAAUAUUUGUUCAGAGUAAAAAGUCAAGCAAGUAAAUAAUGAGAAAAAAUUCAGUGUAUUGUAUAAACAAAGACAGAAGGCAGACCAAUGGUUACCUGGGGCCUAAGCUAAAGAGAUUAAUUGUACACAGUCACAAAGGAAUUUUUUGGGAUGGUGAAAGUGUUCUAAAACUGGAUUGGGAUGAUUGUGGCACAACUGUAUAAAUGUUAUUAAAACUCAUUGAGUUGUACACUUAAAUGAGUGGCUAAGUUGUGCUUUAAUAAAGCUGUAAUUUUGAAAAAGAAUAAUGGAUGAUCAACUGUGAGCUAGAGUAUGAUGAAAACACAAGACAUUUACAUAGCUUCAAAGUAUCUCCCCAUCAGGUACUUAUUAACUGCAUCAGGGAAACAGUAAUUUUCUUGUGGCAGAACCCUGCUGACAAAGUUAACAUUCUAGUAAAAGCACAGGUGGAUGUCAUGUGCCUCCUGAAGUGAUGCACAGAGAAGGAUGCAACAUCAACUUGUAGUAUUCCUGCCAAAAAUAUAUAACCUGAAUUUAACCAUGCUGAAACAUAAGACAAAUCCAAGUGAAGGAACAUUCUACAAAACAACUGACCAGUACUCCUCAAGAGUGUCAAGGUCCUGGAAGACAAAGACUGAGCAAUGCUUCUGAUUAAAGUAGACUGAGAGGUGACAACUGAAUGCAAUGUGGGAUUCUGGAUUAGGUCUUGGCCCAGAAACAGGUCUUCGGUGGGACAACUGGCAAAAUGUGAAUAAGGUCUCUGGUUUUGUGAAUGGUAGUGUAUCGACGCUCAUUACCUGCUUUUGAUCAUGGUAGUGAUAGUAAGAUAUCAACAUUCAGGAAAGUACAGUGAAGGGUAUAUGGGAAUCUCUACUAUUUUUGUAACUUUUGUAAGUUGAAAUUGUUUCAAAAUGAGUUAGAAAAUUAAAAGGAAGUUUUCUCUUUCAGCUGGGAAAACAGCAAUGGAUUAAUAACAAGAAAUUAAUGGUGAAGUGGUGACGAAAAUUCUACAUUGCUUAGAAAGCAAAUAGUGAAAUGAACAUUUACAUUCUGGCAACCUCAGAAGUACAAUGAACAAAGGACACCAGCCAGGUAGGGCAAAGGCCUGUGCACCCCCUUUUGCUGUUACAUGUUUAUCAGAUGCGUGCUCUGUUUCUGUUAUAUUACAUUACUUUUCUCUUCAAUGUUUACUGAGGAAGAACAAGUAGCUCCUCAGGCAAAUCAACUGUUAACUUUGCAGUUUUUAUUUAAUCUCCCAGGAAUGUAACCCUUAACUUUAAAGAAUGUAGUGACCAUAAAACUUAUAAAGCAUGUUUCUUAAGGAAAUUGUACCUGUUUAUUUAAUCUAUCAGAUAUGAAUGUUAUAGAAAAUUAAAUUUGUCCACUUAAGCUGUAGAUGAACUUUUCACCUUUCUGAUCAGAAAUUCACCAUCUUAUAGUAUAGGUUCUGUUAUUAAUCAGAAUAUUUCAUUUAGACUCUUUCUAUCCAACUUUUUCUUAGAGGCUAUUCAAAAUAAAGGUGCUUCUAACAGUUUCAUAUCGAAAUACGAUGCAAAGCCUUGCUCUUCCAUGGUAUCCUUUGAGUGAGCCAAACUUAUUUAGCCAUUCCCCUAUAGUUAAAUAGCUAGGAUGUUUCCAACAUCUCACCUUUAAAACAAUAGUGCUAUGAAUGUCAUAAAUGUUUGUAUAUGUAAAUAUGUGGGAUAAAUCCCUAUCAGUAGAAUUUCAAAAGGUAUACGCAAUCAGUAUUUUCAUACAUAUUUAAAAUUUUCCAUCCAUACAAAGGUUGCUAACAUAUUUAUUUAAAAUUUUAAAAAUAAUUUUAUAUGCCUCUUGUAACCAGUAAUAGGAUGCCAAGUUUUUUUUUAAGGUAACAUUGCUCCUCUUCCCCCAUUGUCUCUGUCAUCUAUAGUACUCCCUGAGGUAGUUCAUGUUAUUGCAAGGGUGUGUAUCAUCACAAACAUAUUGCUUCCACAUACAUAUAUCAGCAUACAUAUAUAUAUAUAUAUAUGUAUAGCAUAUAUAUAUAUGAGCACAUAUUAAUAUAUGCCCAUGCACAUACAAGCAUGUUUUUGUUAAUUUUUACUGAAAUGGAAUCAUACUACAUACUUAUGAACAAAUUGCUUCUUUCACCUUAUAUCACUUAUAAUUGUUAUUCUACAAAUCAGUACAUAUAAAAAAUACAUAUUUACAUAUGUAAUACUCUAUCUUUCUGUUAUAAUUUUCUGCAUGCACAUGUAUGCAUAUACAUAUAUUCAUAAACAUAAAACUUAAUCUAAACGGGAUUUUUUUUUGGGGGGGUGAUAUGGUUUGGCUGUGUCCCCACCCAAAUCUCAUCUUGAAUUCCCAUGUGUUGUGGGGGGACCCGGUGGGAGGUAAUUGAAUUAUGGGGGCAGGUCUUUCCUGUGCUGUUCUUGGGAUAGUGAAAAAGUCUCACAAGAUCUGAUGGUUUUAAAAAGGUGAGUUUCCCUGCAUAAUCUCUCUUCUCCUGUCUGGUUCCAUGUGAGAUGUGCCUUUUGCCUUCCGCCAUGAUUGUGAGGCCUCCCCAGCCAUGCGGACCCGCCCAUAGGUGGAAGGGACUUGCCUUGUCUCGGAUGAGACUUUGGACUUUGGACUGUGGACUUUUGAGUUAACACUGAAAUGAAUUAAUGCUGAAAUGAAUUAAGACUUUGGGAGACGGUUGAGAAGCCAUGACUCAUUUUAAAAUGUGAGACAUGCCUUUCACCUUCUGCCAUGAUUGUGAGGCCUCUCCAGCCAUGUGGAACUGUGAACACACAGUGUUCAUCCCCUCAGGAGGACACAGCUUUUGAGGUACCAUCUUGGAAGCAGAGACCAGCCCUCACUAGACACAAACUUCCUGGCACGUUGAUUUUGGACUUCAUAGCCUCUAGAACUGUGAGAAAUAAAUUUUUAUUAUUUAUAAAUUACCCUGUAUUGGAUAUUUUGUUAUAGCAGCACAAAAGGUCUAAGACAAU
rnacentral:lncRNA from 1 species